rnacentral:rRNA from 1 species
GACGAACGCUGGCGGCGUGCCUAAUACAUGCAAGUAGAACGCUGAAGGAGGAGCUUGCUUCUCUGGAUGAGUUGCGAACGGGUGAGUAACGCGUAGGUAACCUGCCUGGUAGCGGGGGAUAACUAUUGGAAACGAUAGCUAAUACCGCAUAAGAGUAGAUGUUGCAUGACAUUUACUUAAAAGGUGCAAUUGCAUCACUACCAGAUGGACCUGCGUUGUAUUAGCUAGUUGGUGAGGUAACGGCUCACCAAGGCAACGAUACAUAGCCGACCUGAGAGGGUGAUCGGCCACACUGGGACUGGGACACGGCCCAGACUCCUUCGGGAGGCAGCAGUAGGGAAUCUUCGGCAAUGGACGGAAGUCUGACCGAGCAACGCCGCGUGAGUGAAGAAGGUUUUCGGAUCGUAAAGCUCUGUUGUAAGAGAAGAACGAGUGUGAGAGUGGAAAGUCCACACUGUGACGGUAUCUUACCAGAAAGGGACGGCUAACUACGUG